CAACCCUCAAGCUCUGCUUGGUGUUGGGGCACAGCCUGUGAAAGGGCUGGCCCUGAAAUUCAGUGGCGGGCUCGCUAAGACUCCGAGCGUAGUAAUUACUUCUCGCUUAGGUUGGAUUAGUGGUGCGCAGCCGUUAAAAACCCCUAAUAUUCUGAU
rnacentral:misc_RNA from 2 species